GAGUUGGUCCAAUAGAGGAUAGCCAGGAAAUUGAGGCGCAGGUGCAGGAAGAAGUGAUUUCAGACAAUGGAACUGAAAAGAAGCAUGGAACUCGUGAUGAGAUGCUCUCGCAGUACAGUUUGAUCAUAGUAUGAGGGAUAAGAUUAGUGAAACUGAAGGUGGAAUUGAAAUGUUAUGUAAUAUUGUAAUCAUAAUUUGAUUAAUCUAGCUUUUUAAUUACAAAUAGUAUUUGUUAUGAUUGUUCCUUGUUUUAUAGAAGUUGCAUCUACUAUGUGAUCAACUAUUGUAAUCAUUUUUUGAUUAAUCUAGCUUUUUAAUUAUAAUUUUAUAUCA